GAUGAAUGCUGGCGGCGUGCCUAACACAUGCAAGUCGAGCGGUAACAUGGACUUCGGUCUGAUGACGAGCGGCGAACGGCUGAGUAACGCGUGGGAACAUACCCCAAAGUGAGGGAUAACCGCCCGAAAGGGUGGCUAAUACCGCAUAUGGUCUAAGGAUUAAAGGAUUUAUCCGCUUUGGGAAUGGCCUGCGUACGAUUAGAUUGUUGGUAGGGUAAAGGCCUACCAAGUCGACGAUCGUUAGCUGGUCUGAGAGGAUGAUCAGCCAGACUGGAACUGAGACACGGUCCAGACUCCUACGGGAGGCAGCAGUGAGGAAUCUUCCACAAUGGGCGAAAGCCUGAUGGAGCAACGCCGCGUGCAGGAUGAAGGCCCUCGGGUCGUAAACUGCUUUUAUAAGUGAAGGAUAUGACGGUAACUUAUGAAUAAGCACCGGCUAACUACGUGCCAGCAGCCGCCGUAA
rnacentral:rRNA from 1 species